GUCUAUGGCCAUGCCACCUUGAACAAGCCCGAUCCCAUCUGAUCUUGGAAGCUAAGCAGGGUCAGGCCCAGUUAGUACUUGGAUGGGAGACCACCUAGGAAGAUCAGGUGCUGUAGGCA
rnacentral:rRNA from 1 species